rfam:Stegodyphus mimosarum contig161943, whole genome shotgun sequence.
GCCUUCGUGGUGUAGUGGUCAGCACGCUCGACUCGGAACAGAGAGGUCCGUGGUUCGAUUCCCGGCGAAGGCG